GUGGUAGUGUGCGGUACUUCGGUCCUCGUACUCUGGUUCAAUCCCCGCUGCAGUCUGAAUGAUGACUCUUCGGCACAUCCUCUACAGACCUGGUGUGCUUCGGCCCCGAC
ensembl:ncRNA T22B2.12 ncRNA